UACGUAGGGGGCAAGCGUUGUCCGGAUUUAUUGGGCGUAAAGAGCGUGUAGGCGGCCAGGUAGGUCUGCUGUGAAAACUCGAGGCUCAACCUCGAGACGUCGGCGGAAACCAUCUGGCUAGAGUCCGGAAGAGGAGAGUGGAAUUCCCGGUGUAGCGGUGAAAUGCGUAGAUAUCGGGAGGAAUACCUAUGGCGAAAGCAGGCUACUGGACCGUCACUGACUCUGACUCUGCGAAAGCUAGGGGAGCAA
rnacentral:rRNA from 1 species